UCCUUAGAUGUCCGGGGCCGCACGCGCGCUACACUGAAGGAAUCAGCGUGGCUUUCUCCCUGACCCGAAAGGGUUGGGAAACCCGUUGAAUCUCCUUCGUGAUAGGGAUUGGGGCUUGAAAUUGUUCCCCAUGAACGAGGAAUUCCCAGUAAGCGCGAGUCAUAAGCUCGCGUUGAUUACGUCCCUGCCCUUUGUACACACCGCCCGUCGCUCCUACCGAUUGAAUGUUCCGGUGAGCUCUUCGGACUGCGCGGUCUGCAGUUUCUGCGUUCCGUGCGGAAAGUUGCGCAAACCUUAACAUUUAGAGGAAGGAGAAGUCGUAACA
rnacentral:rRNA from 1 species